rnacentral:misc_RNA from 1 species
GAGUUAGGGUCUUUUAGGCCCGACCUCCAACCCUUUGUCUAUUAUACCUCUUGUUGCUUCGGUGGGCCCGUCCCCUCUAGAGAUAGAGGACGACCGCCGGAGGGUGUAACGCCCUCUGGCCCGCGCCCACCGAUGGCCCCAACUCAAAAACUCUUGUUUAACCAUGAAUUGUCUGACUAUGAAAAAAAUAAUAACAAAAAACUUUCAACAACGGAUCUCUUGGUUCU